rnacentral:piRNA from 1 species
UGAAAAAUGGCAUUGCCUUCAUGGGUC